GGGAAGGUGGCUCAGUGGUAGAGUGCUUGCCUUGCAUGCAUAAGGCCCUAGGUUCGAUUCCUCAGCCCG
rnacentral:tRNA from 1 species